CCAGACUCCUACGGGAGGCAGCAGUGAGGAAUAUUGGUCAAUGGCCGAGAGGCUGAACCAGCCAAGUCGCGUGAGGGAUGACGGCCCUACGGGUUGUAAACCUCUUUUGUCGGGGAGCAACGAGGCCACGUGUGGCCGAAGUGAGAGUACCCGAAGAAAAAGCAUCGGCUAACUCCGUGCCAGCAGCCGCGGUAAUGCGGAGGAUGCGAGUGUUAUCCGGAUUUAUUGGGUUUAAAGGGUGCGUAGGCGGAACAUUAAGUCAGCGGUAAAAUCGAGGGGCUCAACCCCUUUAAGCCGUUGAAACUGGUGAUCUUGAGUGGGCGAGAAGUAUGCGGAAUGCGUGGUGUAGCGGUGAAAUGCAUAGAUAUCACGCAGAACUCCGAUUGCGAAGGCAGCAUACCGGCGCCCGACUGACGCUGAGGCACGAAAGCGUGGGGAUCGAACAGGAUUAGAUACCCCUGUAAC
rnacentral:rRNA from 1 species